UUUUAAUACGAAACUUCAUUUACAGUACAUACCUUUUCCUGUUUUUGCCCUUACUUUAGCUAGAGCUAUACAUAAAAACAGCAGUAACAUUUUACAUACGACGAAAUGGCAGCCAGCCUCAAGCGGCCAGUCGAUGAAUUGCAGCUCACGAGAGAGAGAGCGGGAGGUUGCGGCUCGGUUGCAACCAUAGACUGUAGGUUGCAAUCUGUUUUUAUACAGUCAGUCUAUGGUUGCAACGCUGGGUUGUUUCAGGCCAGCGCUGGGUUAUUUAACGCGCCUUGAAGAUGUUUAAAUCGCUCCGGUGACUGUCAUUUUGGAAGGACAACGGGGCAAAGCCACUGGUUUCAACUGUUGUAAGGAGAGCACAUGGAUGCAUUUAUGAGAGAAAAACAAAUCGAAUGCAGUUUUAUCAAGACGUCUAACGGU